AAAAUAAAUAUUCCUUGCCUGGAUAUUGAAAGGUAGAGGACUGCUUCAGUCUAAGGAUUGAGGUUGAUGGCAUUCACAAGUGACAGGCAGCUGCUUUCAUGGAGAGAUUUAAGAGUUCAUAAAGGCCUGUACGUAAGCUCUUUAAGUGUUGACAACACAAUCUUCAGUGCCAAGAACAGUGGUCUGGGAUAUAUCGGAGACUCAAAACAGCUACGAUGAAGGAAGAGGGGAUAGAAGAGAGGAAGAAAAUGUGGGUGUCCCCAAUCCACAACAGGCUUUCUUUGGGAUUUCACCUGAACUUCACAGCAUUAUGCUGACUAUUGGCAUUUUCAAUAUCUCUUUUCUUAGCUGAAUUUUAGAUACUAUAAACCGGCUUGAAGAGAAUGGCAGCAAUUUUUACUUCUUUAAAUUGCAGCAAUGGUUCAAAAUGCCUUGAAUUUCUAGAGUAAGGUAAAGUAUUGUUUCAUUAAUUUACCACUUAAUACAGACAGAGGAGUUUCUUGGCUUUUGAAUCAACAUGACAAAUCGAAGACUCAAUUCCUUUUUUGAAAUGAACGAAGCAAAUAUUUUCUUCGGUAAUGAAGGACAAAUGUGAGUUACACACUUCUGAUGCCUUGGAAUUGCUUUCUGUUUGGCUAAAACAGCUAAUCUCAAAAAGGUACUCCUAUAGAAUAGUUUCCCAAUGAGAUGGGCUAAUGUAUCCUGGUGCUCAAAUUUUAACAAUAGUAUUUUUCCCGUUACCUGUGGGUGAGGGGAGAAGUCCUGAACUGAACUCUUCUUGAUCUUAAGAUUUUUCUCCCAUAAAAAAAGACAGCCUUUUUAACAGAUGGUGUUGGGAGAAAUGGAC